GGCCCCGCACAAGCGGUGGAGCAUGUGGUUUAAUUCGAAGCAACGCGAAAAAACCUUACCUGGUCUUGACAUCCUGCGAACUUUUUUAGAGAUAGAAAGGUGCCUUCGGGAACGCAGUGACAGGUGCUGCAUGGCUGUCGUCAGCUCGUGUUGUGAAAUGUUGGGUUAAGUCCCGUAACGAGCGCAACCCUUGUACUUAGUUGACUUCGGUGACUCUAAGUAGACUGCCCACUAGGAUAGUGGGAGAAAGGUAAGGAUGACGUCAAGUCCUCAUGGCCCUUAUGAACUGGGCUACACACGUGUUACAAUGGUAAGAACAAUGAGAAGCGAUCUUGUAAAAGUGAGCA
rnacentral:rRNA from 1 species